GGUGGCGUGUCCGAGCGGCCGAAGGUUCUCGACUCGAAAUCGAGUGUGGGUAAAACCACCGAGGGUUCAAAUCCCUCCGCCACCG
rnacentral:tRNA from 1 species